rnacentral:tRNA from 1 species
GGGCUUGUAGCUCAGUUGGUAGAGCGCCUCGUUUGCAACGAGGAGGUCACGGGUUCGAUCCCCGUCGAGUCCA